rnacentral:rRNA from 1 species
UUGAUCCUGGCUCAGGAUGAACGCUAGCGGGAGGCUUAAUACAUGCAAGUCGAGGGGCAGCAUGGGGCUCCGGCCCUGAUGGCGACCGGCGCACGGGUGAGUAACGCGUACGAAACCUGCCUCCAAGCGGGGAAUAGCCCCGGGAAACUGGGAUUAAUGCCCCAUAGGACCAUAAUGCCGCCUGGCAAAGUGGUUAAAGCUUCGGCGCUUGGAGAUGGUCGUGCGUCCCAUUAGCUAGUUGGCGGGGUAACAGCCCACCAAGGCGACGAUGGGUAGGGGGCGUGAGAGCGUGGCCCCCCACACGGGUACUGAGACACGGACCCGACUCCUACGGGAGGCAGCAGUAAGGAAUAUUGGACAAUGGGGGCAACCCUGAUCCAGCCAUCCCGCGUGCAGGAUGACGGCCCUACGGGUUGUAAACUGCUUUUGCGAGGGAAGAAACGGGCCCACUUGUGGGCUUUUGACGGUACCUCGAGAAUAAGCACCGGCUAACUCCGUGCCAGCAGCCGCGGUAAUACGGAGGGUGCAAGCGUUAUCCGGAAUCACUGGGUCUAAAGGGUGCGUAGGCGGCAUGGUAAGUCAGAGGUGAAAGGCCGUCGCUCAACGAUGGAAUUGCCUUUGAAACUGUCAUGCUUGAAUCAAGUUAAGGCCGGCGGAA